rnacentral:lncRNA from 1 species
UUAAAUAUUCACAUCCUGCAGGCCUCGGGGAGCCAUGAAGAUGACGACAUGAUCGCAGCUCAGCAGGAAGCUCGGUGCUGCCGGAAUGUGGGGAGGCCAUCCGUCUCAUUCAGCGGCCCGGCAGGCCUUAUUAUGAUGAUGAAUUUUCAAGUUAUCAGCACAAAUGCAAUCACCAUCAUAGGCCAAGAGGCACCAUUUGGCAUCCUGAGCAGGACGAUCGAUGAGAGGCAGCUGACCCUCCUGUGGCCACCUCCAGGCAGCAGGUGGAUAGGAGAGCCCACGUGGGGGACGGUUGGAGGGCCUCCCAGUCAUGUGCCUGCUCUGUUAGCAAGAAUCGGGGUAUCCACCAUCGCAGGCCCUUCCCGGUGCAGGGCUGUUGGCUAUCAACUUACUUCCUCCUUUUGCACUGAAAGAGAAGCUGGAACAAUUGCCACGUUUUCUGAUAAAUUAUAGCCACCCGUUCCCCAGCCUUGCAGCCCAGAAGAUCCCAGCACAUGUAUAAAUCACACUAAUGAAAGCUGAGGUUGUCAUUUUCGAGAGCAGG